rnacentral:tRNA from 1 species
UAGAGUGUAGCUCAGUGNUAGAGGACUUGCCUAGCAUGCAGGAGGCCCUGGGUUUGAUCCCUAGCGCCUAA